rnacentral:rRNA from 1 species
CAAUAGCGUAUAUUAAAGUUGUUGCGGUCAAAAAGCUCGUAGUUGGAUUUCUGCUGAGAGCGACCGGUCCAUACCAUGUAUGCGUAUCUGGCUUGCUCUCGGCAUCCUCUCGAUAGACGUUACUGCGCUUGAUUGCGUGGUGCGGAUCUCGGGACUUUUACUUUGAGGAAAUUAGAGUGUUCACGGCAGGCUUUCGCCAGAAUACAUUAGCAUGGAAUAAUACUAUAGGAUCUUGGUUCCAUUUUGUUGGUUUCUAGAAUUGAGAUAAUGAUUAAUAGGGACAAUUGGGGGCAUUCGUAUCAACACGUCAGAGGUGGAAUUCUUGGAUUGUGUUGCGACGAACUACUGCGAAAGCAUUUGCCAAGGAUGUUUUCAUUGA